AACUCGCCUGCAUGAAGUCGGAAUUGCUAGUAAUCGCAGAUCAGCAUGCUGUGGUGAAUACGUUCCCGGGCCUUGUACACACCGCCCGUCACACCAUGGGAGUCGGUAACACCCAAAGUUGGUAGUCUAACCGCAAGGAGGACGCCGCCUAAGGUGGGAUUGAUGACUGGGGUGAAGUCGUAACAAGGUAAC
rnacentral:rRNA from 1 species